CUUAUCAAGAGCGGUGGAGGAAUCAGGUCCUGUGAAGCCCGGCAACCUGCGCAAGCAAGGUGCCAAAUCCUGCGGUAUUCCGGAAGAUGAGG
rnacentral:ncRNA from 1 species